UACGUAGGGGGCGAGCGUUGUCCGGAUUUAUUGGGCGUAAAGAGCUUGUAGGCGGUUUGUCGCGUCUGCUGUGAAAAAUCCGGGGCUCAACCCCGGACUUGCAGUGGGUACGGGCAGACUAGAGUGUGGUAGGGGAGCACGGAAUUCCUGGUGUAGCGGUGAAAUGCGCAGAUAUCAGGAGGAACACCGGUGGCGAAGGCGGUGCUCUGGGCCAGUACUGACGCUGAGGAGCGAAAGCGUGGGGAGCAAACAGG
rnacentral:rRNA from 1 species